CAGCCCUAAACGAUGCGCGUUAGGUGUAUCGGUGACCACGAGUCACCGAGGUGCCGAAGGGAAACCGUGAAACGUGCCGCCUGGGAAGUACGGUCGCAAGGCUGAAACUUAAAGGAAUUGGGCGGGGGGAGCACCACAACGGGUGGAGCCUGCGGUUUAAUUGGACUCAACGCCGGGAAGCUCACCGGAUAAGACAGCGGAAUGAUUGCCGGGCUGAAGACCCUGCAUGACCAGCUGAGAGGUGGUGCAUGGCGU
rnacentral:rRNA from 1 species